CCCUUAGAUGUUCUGGGCUGCACGCGCGCUACACUGAUACAAUCAACAAGUGCCUUUUGCCGACGGGUGAAGAGGACUCUUGUGAGUUUGUAUCGUGAUGGGAACAAACGAUUGCAAUUAUUCGUUUCGAACGAGGAAUUCCUAGUAAGCGCGAGUCAUCAGCUUGUGCUGAUUACGUCCCUGCCCUUUGUACACACCGCCCGUCGCUCCUACCGAUUGGAUGAUCCGGUGAGCUGGCCGGACAGGCGGACUGCAUCUGAUGCUCUUCGCUUGGAAGGCUCGCAAACCUUAUCAUUUAGAGGAAGGAGAAGUCGUAACA
rnacentral:rRNA from 1 species